GUCUCAAAGAUUAAGCCAUGCAUGUCCAAGUACAAGCCUCACUAAGGUGAAACCGCGAAUGGCUCAUUAAAUCACACCUAAUCUACUGGAUAGUCAACAGUUACUUGGAUAACUGCGGUAAUUCUGGAGCUAAUACAUGCGAAAAGAUCCGAACUUACGUGAGGAUCGCUUUUAUUAGAUCAAAACCAAUCGGCUUCGGCUGUAAUUUUUGGUGACUCUGAAUAACUUUGGGCUGAUCGUAUAGCCUUGCGCUGACGACAUAUCCUUCGAAGGUGUGCCCUAUCAACUGUCGACUGUGGCAUAGACGCCCACAGUGGUUUUGACGGGUAACGGGGAAUCAGGGUUCGAUUCCGGAGAGGGAGCCUUAAAAACGGCUACCACAUCUAAGGAAGGCAGCAGGCACGCAAAUUACCCAAUGACCGAAGGUCGAGGUAGUGACGAAAAAUAACGAUCCAGGACUCAUCCGAGGCCCUGGAAUCGGAAUGAGUACACUUUAAAACCGUCCCCGAGGAUCUAUUGGAGGGCAAGUCUGGUG
rnacentral:rRNA from 1 species